AGUGAACGCUGGCGGCGUGCCUAAUACAUGCAAGUCGCAGGAAGUGGCGCACGGGUGAGUAAUAUAUAGCUAAUCUGCCCCUUGCUGGAGGACAACAGUUAGAAUGACCGCUAAUACUCCAUAGCAAGUGAUGAUACUAUAUCGUAUAAGCUAGUCGGUGGGGUAAAGGCCUACCGAGGCUAUGACGCGUAACUGGUCUGAGAGGAUGACCAGUCACAGUGGAACUGAGACACGGUCCAAACUCCUGCGGGAGACAGCAGUAGGGAAAAUUGCGCAAUGGGGGAAACCCUGACGCAGCAAAGCGGCGUGGAGGAUGACACUUUUCGGAGCGUAAACGCCUUUUGUUAGGAAAGCGGUACCUAACGAAUAAGCACCGGCUAACUCCGUGCCAGCAGCCGCGGUAAUAC
rnacentral:rRNA from 1 species